AUUGAACGCUGGCGGCAGGCUUAACACAUGCAAGUCGAACGAGUGGCGGACGGGUGAGUAAUGCUUGGGAAUCUGGCUUAUGGAGGGGGAUCACUACGGGAAACUGUAGCUAAUACCGCGUACCAUAGGCUGAGCCCAGAUGGGAUUAGGUAGUUGGUGGGGUAACGCCUCACCAAGCCGACGAUCCCUAGCUGGUCUGAGAGGAUGACCAGCCACACUGGGACUGAGACACGGUCCAGACUCCGACGGGAGGCAGCAGUGGGGAAUAUUGCGCAAUGGGCGCAACCCUGAUGCAGCCAUGCCGCGUGUAUGAAGAAGGCCUUCGGGUUGUAAAGUUCUUUCAGUGGGGAGGCGUUAACCGCAGAAGAAGCACCGGCUAACUCCGUGCCAGCAGCCGCGGUAAUAC
rnacentral:rRNA from 1 species